GUCAUCUGCGUUGGAUACACUGCCAAUAGAAUUAUAUGGUUCCAACGCACUGAAAGGAGUAUUAGCAACAACAGAAGAAUUCAUAUUAACUGGAGAAUCAAUGGUUGUUGUUGAAAUAUGCGCAAAUGGGUAAUUUUCUUCUAAGUAAUCAACAUCUCGGGAGACAUAAAUCAUCUUGUUCUCCAAGUCAAAGAUUUUGUAUACCUUCUUGUCAUAUGGAUAUCCAACAAAGAUGCCUUGUUUGGCUCGAAGAGCAAAG
rnacentral:misc_RNA from 1 species